rnacentral:lncRNA from 1 species
GAUGGCGUUAUAUACGCGUAUAUUAUAUGUAUAUGGGAUAUGAGAAAAGGUUACGGCGUUAUAUACGCACCACCACCUGAUCAGCUGGUAUACGUUGAUGAUUUUCCCACAUUGGCCGAGAUGAUAUGAUGGGAUGUCCUCAGAGGCUUGAUGAUGUUAUGAAUGCAUAUACCUAUUCAUGGUAUGACAUUUUACGCAUAUGCAUGACAUUAUAGAUAUGAAAUGAUUCACAGAGUUAUUCAGACUUACAUGUUGAGUUUUUUACUCCAUGUUUCUCUCAUGUUUAUUACUUACUGAUUUUCAUUCCUUACAUACUCGGUACAUUAUUUGUACUGACGUCCCUUUUGCCUGGGGACGCUGCGUUUCAUGCCUGCAGGUCCCGAUAGACAGGUCGAGAGUCCUCCAACUAGGCUAUCAGCUCAGCGGAAGAUGUUGGUGCGCUCCAUUUGCUCCGGAGUUGCUUGUUCGGUCAGUAUGAUUUAGACGUGUAUUGUUUGGUAUGACGGGGCUCUGUCCCAACCUUUAUGACGAUUAUGUAUUCUUAGAGGCUUGUAGAUAGAUGUCAUGUACGUAAAAGAUUGUAUGGCCUUGUCGGCCUGUGUUCAGUGUACGAAUGGUUAUUUUGGUCUUAUAGGCCCGUAUGUCUUAUGUAUAAGUUGGUAUUUUAUGUUGUAUUCUACUUAUCUCACGGCAACCUCUCCGGCUUAGUUAUCUAUGAUAGUAUGAUAUGAAAACAUACGUUAUGUUGGUACUCGGUUGAGUAAGGUACCAGGUGCCCGUCGUGGCCCAACGGUUUGGGUCGUGACAAAAGUGGUAUCAGAGCAGUUCUGUCCUAGGUAGUCUAAGAGCCGUGUUUAUGGGUGUGUUGUGCACCACACUUAUCAGGCUACAAGGCAUUUAGGACUGUCACUCUUUCUUUGUACUCUAGAUCGUAUGGUAGAGCUCAGUUGUAAGAACUCAAUCUCCUCAACUCUAUCUUAAUACGACGAUGCCUACCUCUAGAAAGACG